AGCUUAGAUGUGGAAGCUCUUUGGAAACCAAGAAACACUCUGAAAAUGAAAAGGGUGGAAGAGUAAACUGUUCCUGUUUCUCCAUCUUGACAGGAAGCAGAAGUUCUCCUUAGCUGAUUUUUCUUCUUGCCUUAUACUGGGUUCUUUAACACCAGAACAAAAAUAAAUAAAUAAAAGAAUCUUCCAGAAAUUCAUGAAGAGACUUCAGGUCAGGAAAGCCUGAACUUUCUCAUCCAACACCCGUUCAAGUCGGAGGAUGCUGAUUAAUUCAUGAUGGAAAGGUAUCAAUUUCACAGCCCAGACCUCUACAUUCUUGAAAUGCUCUUCUCAUGGGAGACAUUAAAUAAGCUUUGAAUUAACUGAGACCUCUGUGGAUUCUAUAACUCAAAGACCCAGGCUGACGGCUGGUGGAAUAGCUACCAUCUCAAACAUGGCGUGAUGCUGCAUCAGAGAGAAAAAUAAGCUCUUGCAUUGACAAUGAAAUGUCUACCCUGUAGUGACUUGUGCUUACUUCCACUCACAAGUGAUUGCCCAGAGCUACUUACCUGGCUCCAAUCUACCACUGGGUCAGACGUUUGCUGAAUUCAGUUCUGAGCUUUUGAACCAAAAGCAGAUCUUCAGAACAAGAAACAAGAUAAUAAAAGAGAAACAUGAAGAAACUGAAGAUGAUUGGAGAAAUAUGAAUCAAGAUGAUUAGACCUAGCAGAGGGCUGGCUGGAUGGCAUUUAUGUUGACAAUGGACU
ensembl:lncRNA SATB1-AS1 SATB1 antisense RNA 1